rnacentral:lncRNA from 1 species
CAGUGCCCAUCACACCCCACCUGCAGCACAGGGCUGGUGGGCAGAAAGUGGUGUUCCCUGGGCAGGAGCAACACGUUCCUGUUUUGCACUGGUGUUGUGUCUGUUCAAGACUGAGCUCAGCAGUUGGUAUAUUUUUCCCUCCUAGAUUUAACAGGGGAAAAAAUAAAGAUUGGAAAGCUGCUGCGAUUUGCUGGGCUGAAUGGAGCAUUAGUGGAGCAGUGCGUGCUACUCUCAGGCAUUAAAUAUGCUCUGAUACAAGUUGGGAACAGCUGGGCGGCAUCCUUGAUGAGGAAUCCAACCAGCAGACCUCCACCACUCUAUGAUUCAAGAACCUUCUUCCUCGUGCCUCCAUUCUUGUUGGAUCACCCCCUGGUGCACAGGGCUGGGUCUCCAUGCAGGGCUCUGCACUGCUGUGUAUUCCCAGCGUUCUGGCUUGCAGGAUGUAUCCUUUUCUGCUCGCUUUCUUGCUCGCUCCGCAUCUUGCUCUGUCUUCUCCCUUCUAUGAUUUCUUAUCCUAGUAGCUUGCCCCCACUCAUCUGCAAAACCUAUUUAACAUCAGGAAACUCUGUCAAGCAUGGAGAGCUGACAAAAUCAUAGAUGGUUCAGGCAACAGCGGCGAGAUGUGCUGACUGCAUUUUCACAGCUCAAAUUAUAUUGUGUUGCAGCUGAGGCUGAAAGUGAAACGAAGCUGUAUCCAAGAGAGAAGGAGUGAAAUUUAAUAAUAGAAGUGUGAGAUCUCUGAGAGAGAUGCACAGUGCUGUCUGGACAGUGCCAGCACUUUCCUGCCUCGAUCUGCCACAGAAGUGCACUUGUGUUGGGGACCCCAUAACUGAGCACGUUUUGCUGGAACCUUUGGACCCAUUGGUAGGAAAGCAAACAGAAUGAUUUCUUUUGGACACCAGAAACUCCUGUGUUUCAGGACCUCCCAUCUGCCUUUUUGCAUCUGCGAAACCUCAUGCUUGUGAGCACCUUGCAGCGACCUGUGUCGUUGCCCUGUCAGACCUGAUCUGCUUUCUACAGCCUGAAGUUAUCUCUCUGAUUGUGGCAGCCUCCCAAAGUCUCCAAAAACCUGUGUUGGAGGAGGAUGCACACCUUGGUUCUGUAGCAGUGACUCAUUCCCUCCACCUGCAAAGGGUCAGCGGAGCUAGGUGAAAAUGAGCCCAAACUGGAAAGGAGAUUACUCCUUUCUAAUGUCUGCAAAUGCACUUGUUUGCUCGGUUUAUAGGUAUCCAUUGGACAAACAAUUUUGCAGGUGGUUUGGUCGCAUUUUACGAAUGGUGCCAGCUGUUUGCUAUCCACCGCUCUGAAGCCUGUGAUCCCUCACUGCACUGUUGUUAUUUCCUGGCUGGAUGCUGAAACCACUGUUGGGAGAAUGGCAAUCAGCAAAAAAAUGCAUCCCCACUGGUUUAGUUUCCAAGGCUCAUCUGAGUCUUGGAACAUAUGGCACCCAGUCAGAAUGUAGAAGUUGAGUUUAGAUAAGAUGAUCGAAGGAAAAAAAACUGAGCACAGCAAAGUGGGAUGCUUGCAGCUACAUUAAAAAUAAAAUCUGGUGUAUCUAUUACUGCAUUAACACAUGGGUCCAUCGGGUUGUUUGGAGGGCUGCGUUUGCUCACCUGGAUACUGGUUGUGUAAUACUGUGAGAAGGUUGGGUGCUCUUGGUUGCUCUGAGUUUCUGAGGCAUGGAAUACUUUAUCA